UACAGAGGUCUCAACCGUUGUUCGGAUUCAUUGGGCGUAAAGGGCGCGUAGGCGGCCUGUUAAGUCAGACGUGAAAUCCCUCGGCUCAACCGGGGAACUGCGUCUGAUACUGGCGGGCUUGAAUUCGGGAGAGGGAUGUGGAAUUCCAGGUGUAGCGGUGAAAUGCGUAGAUAUCUGGAGGAACACCGGUGGCGAAGGCGGCAUCCUGGACCGACAUUGACGCUGAGGCGCGAAAGCCAGGGGAGCAAACGGG
rnacentral:rRNA from 1 species